GUAAAGGACUCUCUCUCAGAGAAACACAGUGUGAGAUCAGGAUCAUGUGUGUCCAGCGCUGUGUCUCUGAAGAGUGACUGGUCAAUGGGUAAUCCACCAGUAUUCAGUGAGAAAACACCAUCAUCUACUCAAAGUGUGGAUGGAGAUGAUCAGACUGGAGACC